GCAAGUGGCGCAGAUGCUGGACAAAGCCCACAGAGUAGAACCACAAAGUGUGCAGUGGAGGAGGCUGCUGCAGCCUGGCCCCCCUCCCCGCCUCUGGCCGUUACCUCUUCCUGGAAGGAUGAGGAGGAAGAAGAGGAGGAAGGAGAGAAGCUAAUGGCAGAGCUGCAGGCAUUCCAGAAGUGUUCCCUUAUGGAUAUAAACUCACACAGUCAUGCUGAGCAGUCCCGGGCUGACAGCCACGUUAACGACACUAGGCCAGGUGCCACAGCCCUGCCCAAGGAGAAGAAGGGCAUUUUUGGAAGCUGGAGGACAAAGCAAGCCCAGAAUUUGGAAUUUUUCCACGAAGAUGUUCAGAAAUCUGAUGUUGAAUAUGAAAAUGGGCCCCAUGUGGAGUCUCAGGUUGCCACGGGGGUUCGGAGACCCGGGGACCCUCUUAAGUGGGAAACAGGACUGGAGAAUAGUAUUCCUGAGGCAUCAAGAAUAUCAGAAUAUAAAACUGACAACCUAAUGAAGGAAAGUUCCCUAUCCAAUAAAACUUUAUUCAGGGACAGCAGAAACUAUUCCCAGAAAAAUGUGCCGAAGGUCAAUUUCAUUCUCACUGGAAUUCAUUCCCUCGAAGAUGAAAUAAACAAAGGGCCUGAAGUCCCAGCACUGCAGCACCCGCUACCUGACACUGAGGCUCUGGAGGUGACUUAUGGGAAGAUGAAAGAGACGGGUCAGCAAGCACAAGAAAACACAGAGAAGCCUCACAUUCCCGCCACCGCGUGGUCAACAGAGCCGAGCGUCCGCGAGAUCAAGAUGCAAGAUCAAGCCACGCUCAUGACAGAUCCUGGCCAAGUUGUGCUGAGACCCAAAGCGACAAGGCAGAGUAAUGGGGCUUCUCCUCGUGAGAAGGGAGAGUCUACCCCAAGAUCUCCCACCGAAGAGAAUGCCGCCGCCGACAACAUCGCCUUCAUGAUUACCAAAACCGCUGUCCAGGUCCUGUCCAGUGGUGAGGUCCAUGCUAUAGUGAGCCAGAAGGGGCAGGAGGUCCAGACGGUGAACAUCGAUGCCAGGAAGGAGACAGCUUCACAACAGGAAGGGGCUGAACAUGAAGAGCCAGUCGUGUGCCUGGACAAAAAGCCAGUCAUCAUCAUUUUUGAGGAGCCCAUGGACAUCCGGUCUGCCUACAAGAGGCUUUCCACCAUCUUUGAGGAGUGUGAUGAGGAGCUGGAGAGAAUGAUGACAGAGGAAAAGAUAGAGGAGGAGGAGGAGGAGGAGGAGGAGGAGGAGAAUGGAGACCCCGCCGUCCAGAAUAACACUUCCCAAAAGUCCCUUCCGCAGGUGGCCCCUGGCAGUCUUCGCGUGGGACAGCAGGAGGUAACGAAAUUCCAGCCAGGCCUCCUGUCCACGGAGACCAGGACCUCGGGAGGACAGGAAACGUAUCAAAGCGAGCCAAGCACGUCCAGUGCAGCAGACUUCCCCAAUUCUGACGGCAAGUGUGACACGGCCGAUGACCAAUUUGAAAGCCCCAAGAAAAAGUUUAAAUUCAAGUUCCCUAAAAAGCAACUUGCUGCCCUCACUCAGGCGAUUCGCACCGGAACCAAGACAGGAAAGAAGACCCUCCAAGUGGUGGUCUACGAGGAGGAGGAGGAGGACGGCGCCCUGAAGCAGCACAAAGAAGCCAGGCGGUUCGAGAUCAGCCGGUCACAGCCUGAGGACGCCUUGAAAAAUGCGACUAGUAGACAAGAGCAGCCGAGGCAAGACAGCACCUGUCAGAUUUCGAGAACCGACGAGAUCAGAAAAAAUACCUACAGGACGCUGGACAGCCUGGAGCAGACCCUAAAACAGCUGGAAAACACCAUCAGUGAAAUGAAUCCCAAAGCCCUAGUGGAAACUUCCUGUACUUCCGACAGAGAUUCGGGGGCAGGCUCGGCCCACGAGGCCUCUCCCCGAAACUUGCUAGCUCUGGAUGAAGCCCCCCCUGCCCCAGAGCCCCCCACAUCCAUAUCUUCGGCUUCACGUAAGGCCUCCAGUGGGACCCCUCCAACGAGCCGGAUGCCCGUCCCCAUGAGCUCCAAGAGCCGCCCCGCCAGCCUGGACAAGCCCAGCAAGCAGUCCAAACUGCAGGACCCCCGCCAGCUCCGUCAGGUAGUUUUACCCUAAACCCACUUUUGGAUGGACACUGUUGCAAUUAAGAAGCAGCUCUUGUUAGCUUAUACCAAAUCCUGUGUUUCCUGUGUAGGACACGGUUUACUAGGCACCCUGGAUGGGGGGCAUGAAGAGAGUCUGAGACACCUCUGUUACUCCUCUCUCCACGCGCUCGUAUGCAUGCAAUAAAACCUCUUUUACUGAUGACUGCAGAUUUCACUGUUAACACGGUGCCGGGCCAGUGGAAUUGUUUGUGGAUGUAGCGCUGCGUCAGAACACUGUGGUUGAACUGCCCCUAAGUCAGCCGUACUAACGUCUGUCCGAUGGAAGCACAGUCACGCCCCCCCGGUGCCCCGCCGCCCGGUCCUCUUCCCCACGCACGCGUGGCCGCCCUGGCCCUCGGGAAUGGAGGCGGAGCGCCGUCCGCGCAGCCCUGCCUCCUGUCUGUGGGCCGCGUCCUUUGCUGUGCGCGGGUGCUCCUCCAGGGCCACCAAAGCCGGGAGCUAGCGCAGGCCUCCCACCGUGUGGCCCUUGUGUUGCUGAGUGAUCUCAGACGGGCUGUGUGGCCGGCGCCUUCUGACACUGUCUCCACCGUCUCUGUUCGCAGGCUAAUGGAAGUGCUAAGAAAGCUGGUGGGGAUUGUAAGCCUACUUCCCCGUCCUUACCUGCUUCUAAGAUUCCAGCCCUUUCUCCCAGCUCUGGGAAAAGCAGUUCCCUGCCCUCCGCUAGUGCUGACGGCUCUAACCUCCCUCAUCCACCGGCUGCUAAACCGGCGACCGCUUCUAACCCUCUCAGCCCCCAAGCAGGACGGCCGGUGCUCUCGCUCUCCGCCUGCCUCAUCCCGUCCGUCCCUAACGGCUCCUUGAAGUCCCAGAGCCCCGCGGCUCACGCGGGGAAGGGCCCCCACCCCGGCUCCUCACCGCAGACGCCCAACGGCCGCGCGGCCCUCUCCCCGCCCUCCCUGACCCAGGGCGCCAGGGCCGUCAGGAUCGUCCACGCCCCCAGCCUCACCAGCUACAAGGCGCAGAACGGAAGUUCCGGCAAAGCCACCCCGUCCACAGCAAAGGAGACCUCGUAAAGGCCAAAUCCUGUGCGGCGCAAGCUGGAAUUACUUCUUCUUCUUUUUGUUUUUUUCUUUUCCUUUUAGCAGUCUACAACUGUGUUUACCAGAGAAUGUAAAAUAGCGCUGUACCAUUUGAGGCUUCGUGCAUAGUGUCUGCUCAGUACUGGAUUGAUAGAUUUCGGUAAAGCGUGUUUUGUUUUUUACUUUGUUGCUGUCGUAACUACAUAAUGUUGACUGUCUACACUCAAUACCUACUAAAGGAAGUGAGCAUGUGCUACGAGAAGAGUGGAGAGAGCAACUGUGUGAGAGAUGGGAAAAUUGUAUGAAGCAUGUAAAACAUGUAUGAUUCCAGAAACUUAGUAUGUUUUGUAUAAAAAUAUUUUUCAUUAUGGAGACUAGAAGUGAACAGAGAAAUACACAAGUGUGACUAUAUGAAUUGUAAAACAGAUACUAUAAUAUUUCCUUUUAUUUUAGUGUUAUUUAGCUUUAUUACAGAUUUCUAUUUUUGUCAAAACUUCACGGUUCCUUUCAAGAUCUUUUUUGCCAAAACAUUUUGAUACUAUAUAGCAUUGUACAUUUGAAAGUAGACACUAGACGAUAAGCCAGUGAACUUCUACACAAGCCAAUAGGGAGACAUAUUUAGGAAGCAAUUCAUCAAAACGAUUGCACUGCCAUGAAAAGUAGGUAUAAUAAUUUGUUAGCCCACGCAAGCUAGUUUUCUUUCCUUUUUUUUCCUCCUUCCUUUUCUUCUUCAAAUUUUAACAUAUUGAGAUUCUCUAGUUGUUUUCUUUGGAAUAUCUAGCCCCUUUAUUUUCUGAGACCUGGUCACCCACACUAUUACAUUGUGGAUUUUAAAAUGUACACUUCUGUAUGGUUCUGUAAACUGAUCCACUUUUGUAAAUAUAUAAAUACCAAUAGACAUAAAAAUACUGUAUGUGACCACACAUAGAGUAGUUUUCCCACACCAAAGUUAAUUUUUAUGCAUGCUUUAAAAAUAUAUAUUGGGAUGGGUAGAAAUGGGACUAUCCACACAUUUUUAAAAAGCAACAAAUUUGCACAGUUGGAGUGUUUUUGUAAAUAAAUGUAUUUGUAUAACACCGUCAUGUAAUAUACAGAACUAUAAGCAGAGACUUUGCAAAACUAAAUAAAGGGCUGCAUGCUUAUUAUUUUUUGUACCUUGUCACUAUAAUUACUUCCUAGUCAAAGAACAACAGGCAGUUCUUACCAGGUGAAGUGUUUUUGGCUUGAGGGCAUUAUAAAACCUGUAACAUCCGCUCGGAUGCUGCUGCUUUUCGGAAAGCGCUGGGGGCUGAUGAGGGGCCUAAUAAAUUAAUUGCAAGUGUGGAGCCUUGGGUGUGGGCUGCUGACUCUUUCCUGGGGCUUCUCAGAGGCUGACAGCCAGCCGGAACGCCAGUGUCCCUCACCUGCCGAGGAACUCCUGCUGCCUUCCUUCUCUCUCUCACCCAGCACGAGGAAAGUGGAAGGAAAAUGUCUUCAUCACCACUGGGAUUUUUUGUUUUAGUUUUCAAUUUUAAAAUACAGUGUUGCUCUGGAGGGAUGUACUAACAUGACACUAUAUGUUUUUGUUUAAGAAUGGAAGGAAAGUUGGUGAGAAUACCAAGACACUGUAUGUACUACAGGGACAACCUCAGGAGCCUGCUUAUCAUUAGUUUUCAAAUAUUUAACUCGGUGGUUUGACAUGAAGACCAGACAGUCCUGCCCUUUAGAGCCCACUUGUAUGUUCUCACACUUCACAAUUAACCAGGUGGGAAGCCUUCACCAGAAACAGUUUCGGAUGUCUCAUUACAGUUGUGGUAGUCACAUGUUUCAGAGAGUGUGUAGGAAAGUGUUUAGGCGUAAAAGGUUCCAACAUUUCAGUCGCAUCCUAUAAUCUCAACGACUACAUUUGUAUAUAAAAUAUACAAAGAAUGAUCAAAAGAUAUGGUGAAUUUAUUUUUUAAAUUGUGAGACCAGGCCGGGGAUUUAGCUUAGUGGUUCUGCCACCUACCUCGAAAGUGCAGGUCCCGAGUUCGAUCCCCGGUACCAAAAUAAAGCUUGUGAGACAGGGUCUCAUUAUAUAGGCUGGCUUACAGUCACUAUGUAGCACAGGCUGGCCUUGAACAUACGUGAUCCUCCUGCCCCAGCCUCUUGAGUGCUGGGAUUACAGACAUGUGCCACCAUGCUUGGCUUAGAUAUCUUAAAAGUCAAUCACAAUAAAAGACAUUGCUGCUAAUCCCCUUGAAAGUACCCACUGGCUUCUCAUCAGUCUUGCCAGUAGCAGCAGUUCUCAGUCCUUUUUUGUGAGCGUCUUUAACUGGGCCUCACUACACGGAACCAAUUUGAAAUGCGUACCUUUGAUGGGAACUUUUACCUUUAGGAAGCCCCAAAAGCCGCAGGGUAGGGUACCGGAGCGAGGUGGGCAAGGGCGCAGAAAUCCGCUGACAGCCGGGCCUCGGCCAGGGCGCUGGGCAGCAGCAGCCUUCACCGAGACCACACUGGCAGGGACGGGAGAGGACGCCCAGAACCGCAGGAAAGUGCCCAGGCAAAGGGAAGUCUUGGGAGGUGGGUUAAUGGCAAUGUGUCUUUUACUACAAUAAAUUUUAAUUUGAACGUUCCCUGUGUCUUUUCAUCGCACUUCAGCUAAUACAUAGCGAGUGGAAGCAUUUUGUGAGGCCCAGUGUAAUAGCUGGCGAUUUCCUGCCAGUUCGCUGGCUCCCUCUUAGGCACGCUGAGAACCACGCAGCUGAACAGCAGUUUGGCUCCCUUUGUCAGUUCGACCCGGAUUCCGCAGAGCUCAGGCGGUCAGAGAACGUGGGUAGGGUCCACUUCAGCCAGCGACGGAUCCCCCGAUUCCCCGGCCUCACGAGAGGGGAGCCUGGCGUAGCCGGGCUGCGGAUCCAGGGCCGCGCGGGCCCAGGAGCUCGCCGGACACAGCUUCGCUGCGGUUCAUGGUCUGGUAGCUCCCUGGUGCCGGCGGGAGAGCUCCCCUGCC
rnacentral:lncRNA from 1 species